GUCCCUGUAGUGCAAUGGAUAGCGCGUUGGAUUUCUAAUCCAAAGGUCGAAUCCCACCUGGGAUG
rnacentral:tRNA from 1 species